rnacentral:rRNA from 1 species
AUUGAACGCUGGCGGAAUGCUUUACACAUGCAAGUCGAGCGGCAGCGCGGGGCAACCUGGCGGCGAGCGGCGAACGGGUGAGUAAUACAUCGGAACGUACCCAGGAGUGGGGGAUAACACAUCGAAAGAUGUGCUAAUACCGCAUACGACCUGAGGGUGAAAGGGGGGAUCGCAAGACCUCUCGCUGCUGGAGCGGCCGAUGUUCGAUUAGCUAGUUGGUGGGGUAAAGGCCUACCAAGGCGACGAUCGAUAGCUGGUCUGAGAGGAUGAUCAGCCACACUGGGACUGAGACACGGCCCAGACUCCUACGGGAGGCAGCAGUGGGGAAUUUUGGACAAUGGGCGCAAGCCUGAUCCAGCCAUUCCGCGUGAGUGAAGAAGGCCUUCGGGUUGUAAAGCUCUUUCGGCAGGAACGAAACGGUGGAGGCUAAUAUCCUCUGCUAAUGACGGUACCUGAAGAAGAAGCACCGGCUAACUACGUGCCAGCAGCCGCAGUAA